GAGGGUGUAGUUCAGUGGUAGAGUGUGUGCUUAGCAUGCAUGAGGUCCUGAGUUCAAUCGCCAGCACCUCCA
rnacentral:tRNA from 1 species